ensembl:lncRNA
ACAGCGCUUCUCCUCAGCCCUACCUCCAGUGUUCCUGCCGGCAGAGUAGAGGAAAUGUGUUUGUGAAUUAUUUGAACUUUGCAGAUAAUGAAUGACAAACGUUUUGAAAAUCUGACUCCCUUUCCACUCUUCUCUCCACACUGCCACUUGAGUGGUGCUUCUAAAACAUGGAUGUGGAAAUAUCACGCACUCACUUAUAACCCUCCACCCUCUCUUUACCUACAGCCUUAUUAAAGAGACAGACAUUGCAUGCUUGAGAGGUGGGAUGCAGAUCUUCAUGAAGACCUAGACCAUAAGACCAACCCCCUGGAGGUGGAGCCCAGUGAUCCCAUCGAGAAUGUCAAGGCCAAGAUUCAAGACAAAGAGGGCAUCCCCCUAGACCAGCAGAGGCUGACC